rnacentral:rRNA from 1 species
UGGGGAAUAUUGCACAAUGGGCGCAAGCCUGAUGCAGCCAUGCCGCGUGUAUGAAGAAGGCCUUCGGGUUGUAAAGUACUUUCAGCGAGGAGGAAGGCGUUGUGGUUAAUAACCGCAACGAUUGACGUUACUCGCAGAAGAAGCACCGGCUAACUCCGUGCCAGCAGCCGCGGUAAUACGGAGGGUGCAAGCGUUAAUCGGAAUUACUGGGCGUAAAGCGCACGCAGGCGGUCUGUCAAGUCGGAUGUGAAAUCCCCGGGCUCAACCUGGGAACUGCAUCCGAAACUGGCAGGCUAGAGUCUUGUAGAGGGGGGUAGAAUUCCAGGUGUAGCGGUGAAAUGCGUAGAGAUCUGGCGGAAUACCGGUGGCGAAGGCGGCCCCCUGGACAAAGACUGACGCUCAGGUGCGAAAGCGUGGGGAGCAAACA